UUCAACUUGGCAGGGGUUAUACAAUUUAAAAACACAACAGAUAAAGAUUAUUUGUGAAAUGCCUAAUAAGAGUCAAGGCACCUAACUGAAAUAAGUAAGAGUGUUUAAGCCAGGAAAAACAAUCAUUUUAUUGUAUUAUAAUAACAAAGAAAAUCAAAGUCUCCAUUCGAAGAUUUUGGUUUUUUAUUCCUCCCUUGUUUCCUCUCCCCCUGUCUAUGAUUAUAUCACCUUGACUGGGACUAUUAUUCAACAGAGAAGUCCUUCAAAUGUAAUUGCAAAGUCAGAGACCUACAGGGAAAUGGGGAUCAAAAGCUCUCAUCACUCCAGAUGCUACAAAGCCUUCCCUUCCAGAUGCUACCGAUUUUACUCCCCAGCUACAGCUGUCAUACUGAAAUCAUGAAGCUAAAGGCUACAGAGGGCUACUAGAAGCCUGAGUUUCUGAAGACUGUGUGGAACCAUCAAAGCAGCCCUGAAUAUUUCCCUUGAGACUUUUCCAUUAUAGGAAGGGCAAAUAAAUAGAUGAUGUAUGAUGUAUGAUGUUUUUACUUAGUUUUCUUCAUAAUUCUACUGAAAUACAUCAUUGAAACCCAGGAAUUC
rnacentral:lncRNA from 10 species